UACGGGGGGGGCAAGCGUUGUUCGGAAUUACUGGGCGUAAAGGGCUCGUAGGUGGCCAACUAAGUCAGACGUGAAAUCCCUCAGCUUAACUGGGGAACUGCGUCUGAUACUGGAUGGCUUGAGUUUGGGAGAGGGAUGCGGAAUUCCAGGUGUAGCGGUGAAAUGCGUAGAUAUCUGGAGGAACACCGGUGGCGAAGGCAGCUCGCUGGGACGGUACUGACGCUGAGACGCGAAAGCGUGGGGAGCAACAGG
rnacentral:rRNA from 1 species